UACAGAGGUCUCAAGCGUUGUUCGGAUUCAUUGGGCGUAAAGGGUGCGUAGGCGGCGCGGUAAGUCGGGUGUGAAAUUUCGAGGCUUAACUUCGAAACUGCAUUCGAUACUGCCGUGCUUGAGGACUGGAGAGGAGACUGGAAUUUACGGUGUAGCGGUGAAAUGCAUAGAUAUCGUAAGGAAGACCAGUGGCGAAGGCGGGUCUCUGGACAGUUCCUGACGCUGAGGCACGAAGGCCAGGGGAGCAAACGGG
rnacentral:rRNA from 1 species